rnacentral:rRNA from 1 species
AUUUAAAGUCUAGCCUGCCCAAUGAGAAUUGAAUGGCCGCGGUAUUUUAACCGUGCUAAGGUAGCAUAAUCAAUAGUUUUUUAAUUGAAAGCUGGAAUGAAGGGUUGGAUAAAAAAAUAACUGUCUUUAUUUAAUUUUAUUAGAAUUUUAUAUUUAAGUUAAAAAGCUUAAAUUUCAUUAAAAGACGAGAAGACCCUAUAGAGUUUUAUAUAUAAAUAAAUUAUUAUAUUUAGAAUUAAUUUUAUUAAUUUAGGUAUUUAUUUAGUUGGGGUGAUUAAAAAAUUAAUUUAACUUUUUUUAUAAUUUAACAUUAAUUAAUGAAUAUUUGAUCCAAAUUUAGUGAUUAUAAGAUUAAAUUACCUUAGGGAUAACAGCGUUAUUUUUUUUUAGAGUUCAAAUCAAAAAAAAAGAUUGCGACCUCGAUGUUGGAUUAAAAUUAAUUUUUGGUGUAGGAGCUAAAAUAUUAGGUCU